UAAAUCUGCAGGAAGUACUGUAUUUUCGGUUAUAUCAUGGGGCGUAUCUGAAACCAGCCAAUUGCAAGCUAGGCUACAUUGAUUUUUAUUCACUGCAGGAACAAUACACAACGCAUAGUCAAGCAGCGUCUUUGGAAGCUAAAAACGGAAGAUGGCAAAUGAGGCUAAACCAUGCGCAUGUGACAUUGGAGACAAAAUGGAUUAUGGAGGGCUGGGAGAUGAAGUGGAUAUUGAGCAUAUGAAGGCAUAUAUCGUGAAUCCAGCUUCAUCGUCUGAAAAAGCCAUCGUUGUCAUCCAUGACAUUUUUGGGUGGCAGCUUGCCAACACCAGAUACAUGGCCGAUUUACUUGCUUCAAAUGGAUACAUUGCCAUUUGCCCAGACUUCUUUGUUGGAAAAGAGCCGUGGAACCCUUCAGGAGACUGGUCAAAAUUUCAAGACUGGUUGAAAGACAAAAAUGCAACCAAUAUAAACAGAGAAGUGGAUGCUGUGUUGAAGUACCUGAAGGAAAAGUGUGGUGCCAAGCAGGUAGCUGCUGUAGGAUUCUGCUGGGGAGGGACUGCCGUCCACCACUUGGCUCUGCGGUAUCCACAACUAAAAGCUGGGGUCUCCAUUUACGGAAUAAUUAGGGACACUGAAGACGACAAGUAUCAGCUACACGUCCCCACCCUGUUCAUUUUUGGUGAAAAGGAUGACAUUAUUCCACUUGAUCAGGGAGGAAAACAAGUGUAUCUGCCUGGAAGUUUGUGUGUGAAUACCAGUUUGCAUUUUGAUUGGAGUGUACUUAUAUGAAAUAAUGGGUGGCAAGACUACUGUUGCCAGGUAUUCAUUAAAGUGUUCACCGACACAAAGACCUUUGAUCCAAGGAGGUGACCGUCCUUGAGAAGAGACUACAAGAAAAAUGCCCAGUUGAUUUUCAAGUUAAAGUAUUCCCUGGACAAACCCAUGGAUUUGUUCACCGCAAGAGGGAAGACAUAAAUCCAAGUGAUAAGCCUUUCAUUGAAGAGGGCAGAAUGGACAUGCUAAAAUGGUUGAAAAAAUAUGUAUAAAAUGUUGACAAAGUGAACACAUUCGGAUGCAACGUAAGAUUAACCCAAUACUUUGCUUUUGAUAAAUGAUUAAACAUACACAGAUGAUUCAAUGCAAGAAUCGGUUUUAAAUCAAAAUAUGUGGCUAAAGUAUGGCUAAAUUUUCAGUGCAUUUAAAUUGUUUUGUAUCAAAAAAUUUUCUUGGAACAUUUAACAAUUAAGUAUUUCUACCAUUAUUAAUAUGUAGUAAAACUUUCUGAGCAAGGUUUGUACCUGUCAUUUCAAAUAUUCAGUUCAUCGAGAAAGACGAUUAUAUCAUGUAGGUGUGAAACAUUUUGGUAAUACACAGAUCAAGUUUAUCGACCAGGCAAAAUUUAUAUUAAACUCAUAAUGGCUACUACCAGG